CUACGUUCAGACUCUCUCUUUCUCUGUUCUCCUGAGGCUGAUUUGGAGAGAGAAAAGCAAGCACCAUUUCCCUGGCCCCUUCCCCCUUUAAUCUUUCCCAAAACGCUUCCCCGUUUCAUUUUUUGUUUCUAUCUUCCAAAUUUCCCUCCACAGCCCACACAAAGGGUCUGAAGUAGAGAUUUUCAGUAAGAAGCAUAAUGGGAAUUUACUCAGUUUCCAAGUUGCUGUCCUUUUCCUUCUUGGUUUUGUUUCUGGGUUUGGUCCAGUGUAGUGUGACUUACAAUCGGAAGGCUAUUAUCAUUCAUGGGCAGAGGAAAAUCCUAAUCUCCGGCUCCAUACACUACUCGAGGAGCAUUCCUGAACCAUAUCUUGUUGUUCGAGGGAAAAUGGUUUUGGUGUAGAUGUGGGGAGAUCUUGUGCAGAAAGCUAAAGGAGGAGGGUUGGAUGUUUUACUAGCAAGUUUUUUUGUGCAGGUAAGGAGUCUUUAGCUCAAAUGGUAGAGCACCUGGGGUAAUGCCCAGGUUAUGGUGGUUGGAAUCCACAAAGACUCUGGUUCUUGUGUACCAUUUGUGGGAGAUGGGUUUUAUGUUGAUUCUUGUGUACCAUUUGUAGAAAAUGUUUCUUUCUCUUAUCCACUUUCUGCAUUCUAUGCUCUGUUUUUUUAUGUUUCUGAAUAAAAAUGUUUAUGUUGCUCGAAGAAUAGUUCUUUGUAGGGCUUGUAGUUCUUAGCCACUGGAAUGAAGGAUCAAAUUAGU